GUACCUUUAGCUCAGCCGGAUAGAGCAACUGCCUUCUAAGCAGUAGGUCGGGGGUUCGAGUCCCUCAAGGUACGCCA
rnacentral:tRNA from 1 species